rnacentral:rRNA from 1 species
UGGGGAAUAUUGCGCAAUGGGCGAAAGCCUGACGCAGCGACGCCGCGUGAGGGAAGAAGGCCUUCGGGUCGUAAACCUCUGUCUGGAGGAAAGAAACCCAUGGGUUCAAAUAGGGCCCAUGGCUGACGGUACCUCCGAAGGAAGCACCGGCUAACUCCGUGCCAGCAGCCGCGGUAAUACGGAGGGUGCAAGCGUUAAUCGGAAUCACUGGGCGUAAAGCGCACGUCGGCUGUCUUGCAAGUCAGACGUGAAAGCCCUCGGCUCAACCGGGGAACUGCGUUUGAAACUGCAUGACUUGAGUACAGGAGAGGAUGGCAGAAUUCCGGGUGUAGGGGUGAAAUCCGUAGAUAUCCGGAGGAUUACCAGUGGCGUAGGCGGCCAUCUGGACUGUCACUGACGCUGAGGUGCGAAAGCGUGGGGAGCAAACA